rfam:Salmo salar isolate Sally breed double haploid chromosome ssa27, whole genome shotgun sequence.
UGCAUUCACUACUGUAAGUCGCUCUGGAUAAGAGCUUCUGCUAAGUGACUAAAA